GCUAUUACAUGCUGAAUAUACCGGUUCUCGUUAGAUCACCGAAGUUAAGCAUCAUUGGGCGCGGUCAGUACUUGGGUGGGUGACCACCUGGGAACAUUGCGUGCCGU
rnacentral:rRNA from 1 species